ACAAAACUAAAGGUAGAUUUAGAAAAUAUAUUAGACUAAUGGGUCCCUGAACGAAGGAUUUUUUAUUUUCUUGUAUACUUUUUUUUAUCCUGUAUUGAAUCGCUUAAUUUUAGUGAAAAAAAUUGAAAAUCAACUUCAAAUGUAGGCCAUCUUGUUUUAAAUUAAUUUUUUCCAAAAUCCUUCGUUCAGGGACCCAUUAGUCUAAUAUAUUUUCUAAAUCUACCUUUGUUUUUGUUUUCAGGUAAACCAGUGUAGAGAAAUCUUGCUCACCGCAAACCUACGUUUUUAAAUCAUCGUUUACGUCAUCGGCUGUUAUGACGAUAUAAAUUAAACGUUUCUUAAAACAGAAAAUGUUUUUUAGUUCUUUAAAACAUGCUUUGUAAUAUACUUGAUUGCUACUUAUGCAAAUUAUUAUUUAAUAACUAAAAAAAAUCACAAAGAAAUGUCGUUUUUCCUCUUCCUGACUGCGACUAACCCCUUAAGCAGAAAUACCCACAAUCGUAUGUGGUGUGAAGUUGUAUAAAGUUGUGUGUAGUUCUUAUCGUAGCAAAUUAGUACAAAAUUAUUUAAUGAAUAAUCAGUUAGAAGUAUUAGAAGUAACGGUUCCUUCGAUCGUAAAGGAAAUUUCGGGGCAUCGACAAAUCUUCGAGGACCCCCAAACGCAGGCAUGCCCCCCACUCGGGCUUCAAGGGGGCUGGCCAAAGGGGACCUGGAGGUGUCGUCGCGAACGCCGUCACUUCUGUUGAAAACGUCAAAUCGUGAACAGUUUAGCAAAGUGACAUUGAAUAUUGAAGAAUGAGCAGCCUGGAGGAAGUUACAUACGGUCUUGAUCGAUUGAUCUUCAGGGAUACUCACAUAAUAGGACAAUAUGGGGUGUCAUAUAUUGUCACACCACUGGGUAUGCCGCAGCUCCCGCUGCCACCACGUUUCUUCGCGGCGGCCGUCCCCCAGCCUCCGCCGCCACCACCAACCUUCGCGCGGCGGCAACGCGAGAAUGUGGUACGUUUAAAAAUAAUCGUUAACCAAAAUUAUGUCAAUAAUUUUUUAUUAGUACUUAAAAUUAAUAUAUUUCGUUAUACUAAUUUCAGAGUAACCGGCGGCGGCGGCAGCGCGAUAACAGACGCCGCAGAAGGGCCGCAGUGGAGAAAAUAGUAGUAAGACCACCUGCGAAUCAACGAGGGUCACGAAUAAUCAAAAAUGUCUAUAUUAAAUAAAAUUUAAAAAAAAAUAAACUAAAAUUAUCAAGUGUAUAUUACCUUAAUUUGUAUUUCCCAUUAUACACCCUAGUCCAGAAGUUCCCCAACUUUUUAGAUCCGCAGCUCCAUUAGUAUACAGAUUACACUGACCAACAAAUUUAAACUUUUUUUAAAUUCCGCGAUAUCCAGUAGGUGAUUCUUAUAGGGUUCCUCGCCCUAAAUACAAAUUUGAAAGUGAAAUUGCUCCAUCACCCUUAGUUUUCGAGAAAUUAGAGAUUUUGUAAAUACGGUCGAUUUUGAGAGAAAACGUAGUACUACUUGAAAACUACGAACGCUAGAAAGUUCUAUUUAGUCCUAAAUGAUAGAGGAAUGUUUUCUGAAUAUGAAUUAUCUGCUCUUUUGAAUGCCUGUAAAUGAACGCCGAAGUUCAAAAAGUUGCCGACGCGAGUACUUUUCACGAAAUACUUUUGUAUUUUAAUGAAAAGUUAUUCACUUAGGUCGAAUUUACUAUGCAUUAUAGGUUUCAGCAAACAUUUCUGAAGAGAAGUUGCCAUAAUCGAAUUUCCAACAAUUGCGUUUGACAUUGUUUUCCAAUCGGUUCAAUAGUUCAAAUGUUACGGGCCAACACAUAUGAGAAACUUUCAAUUUCUUCGGCUAAAUUAGAACACAUAAAUUUCUUCCAUCGCCAUGCAAAAUUAGUAACUGUCAAAUUAUGUCCCGUUUCUUAUUGUUUACGCAUAGAUCGCACUUUUACGAAGAAAGCAAGCUUUUGUCGAAUAUAAUCUAUGGAUAAAUACCGUAGUUAGGAACAAUUGAGUAAAGGUACAAAAAUUCCAAUUUUACUCUGUUUUUGUAUCAUUCUCCUAUUUAUAUAGGAAACGUUAAUUUAAUUCAU